ensembl:lncRNA
GAAUUAGCCCAUAAGAACCUUCUAAAGACAUGACAUAAUUUUCUGGAAUUUUCCAAGCUGUUUAAAGGCACAGUCAACUUAGUGUAUGUAAACUUCUGACCCACUGGAAUGUGAUACAUGUGAUACAUGUGAUACAUCACUGUGAUACAGUGAAUUCUGUGAAAUAAUUAUUAUAAUAAUUAUUUCUGUGAAAUAAUCUGUCUGUAAACAAUUGUUGGAAAAAUUACUUGUCAUGCACAAAGUAGAUGUGCAUGACACAACUUGCCGAAACUAUAAGAAGAAAUUUGUGGAGUGGUUGCAAAACAAGUUUUAAUGACUCCAACCUAAGUAUUUGUAAACCUCCGACUUCAACUCUGUCUUACCAGAGUCUACAGUUCUAUCCUGCCGAUACAGUGUAUGUUAUUCAUGUCGUCGUUCAUCCAAGACUCGGUGAAACAUAAGAUAUUACCAUCCCAUUGGUAGGAUAUACAUGCUUGUAGUAAGUCUAUUUUAUUUUCAAAUGAUUGUACGUUGGCUAAUAGUACCGAUGGGAAAUGCAAAUUACCCACUCACCACCUGUGAUGGCAGAAACAUUAUGUGCAAAAUAAGUUACAAAUAACCCAGAAAAACACACACAAUAGCACAAUUGGUUAGGAGACUGUAAAACAUGUUUGCAAUUUCUUUUCCUAAAUGAGAAUGCAUUUGUGACAAUUCUAAUUGAAAUGGAAAACAUAUAAUGCAUUAUCAUUUUCAUGAUUGUAUAUGCAUAAUAUCUGACAAUUUGAAAAAUAAAUAGCAAAUUGUGUUUGAUAUUUCAUUUCCAUGGUGCUAUCCAGUACAACACUGACACAUCACUAAAUGUUCAAAUGACAAAUCAUUUAUCAUGUUUGCCAUUUCAUUUGCUUGUUGCGAUAGCAUGAAUUGUGACAAAAAUUAAAAUUAUUCUCAAUUUGCAAUUCACCAUUUUUUUACAUACUCUGUGUGGUUUAAGACUGUCAAAAUUGUUAUGGUCAAUCAAAUUCCAUAAAUCAAUUGCAAUGCUUCAUUUUUCUAUUUAGUUUCCUUCAUUUCGUGUCAAUCAAACACGGUGGGCGGGGUUCCGGUUACCUGAGGCAGAAGACAUUUCCUGUGCUUGCUGUCAACAGUCGCUUUCGGUUGUAGCUGUACUGAUAUGGCAUGUUUUAGGCUAUCCCGGCAACAGCCAGUGAGAAACCCCACAGAAGAAGAACAUCCAGUGUGUGCGAGGAGUUUGUGAGUGGGGACUAUAAAGCUCAGUGUAGGGGACACUGGAAGCUACUAGUAGCUAGCUAAUAUGGCUAUUAUAUGUAGCUAGCUACCGGUAGGUAACAUAGCUAGCUAGUAGAUUUAGAGAGCUUUUGGCAGCAUUCUACCUUCUCCCUACAGUUCUCAACCAUUAGAUUCACCAACGGCUGCCUCAUGUGAACUACAAACCCAACGCUGUGUUUUAAUGUUUAGAAACGUCAAUAAUCAUAUCUUGUGAUACAGCUUUCGAAACAUAUGGCCCUUAUCUUUCACCAGCGAGAACGAAUCUUUCAAAUAAAAAAGACACACUUACUGUAGCAGUUUUGCCCAACUCAAUACAGGUAUGGGUGCCUCCAUCCAACGAAACUACCCUUAUGCUACACUUCCUGAGUUACGCUUACACACAGGUGUUCGAAGCAUUCAAGAUAGCUAGUUAGCACAGGUGGUCGCCUCUUGAGCUGUAACAUGGAGGUAGGGCCGUGUGAGAACCUUAACCCCAUCAAACUGUGUCGAAUUUUAGGCCUGAUAUGAAAGAUUACUCUAGCCCACUGGCUAGCCUAGCUAGCUAGUUACCUUCACAACAAGACAUUGUGGAAGUAAGUAUCCCAUAUUAGGUACUGUUACUUAGAUAGAUCAGAGGCAGAGUUUGCAAGCAUAGAGGUAGAUACCACCCUGCAUCCCACUGCAGGCUUGCUUCUGAAGCUAAGCAGGGUCUGAUUGGUCAUGGUCGGUCCCUAGAUUUGAGACCAGAUGCUCCUAGAAGUGGUGUUGGAGGGCCAGUAGCAGGCACCAUUUCCUCUGGUCUAAAAAAAAUAUCCCAAUGCCCCAGGGCAGUGAUUGGUGACAUUGCCCUGUGUAGGGUGGGACGUUAAACGGGUGUCCUGACUCUCUGUGGUCACUAACGAUUCCAUGGCACUUAUCCUUACAGUAGGGGUGUUAACCCCGGUGUCCUGGCUAAAUUCUCAAUCUGGCCCUCAUACCAUCACGGUCACCUAAUCAUCCCCAGCUUACAAUUGGCUCAUUCAUCUCCUCUCCUCUCCCCUUUAACUAUUCCCCAGGUUGUUGCUGUAAAUGAGAAUGUGUUCUCAGUCAGCUUACCUGGUAAAAUAAGGGUACAUUUUUAUUUAUUUUUAUACCGUUUGCAAGUCAUUACUUGGCAGUGAUUGUGCAACCCAAAGACACAUUGUGCUACACUGUGAACAGACUCAAUGAUUUGGACUUUUGUCCUGAUUGUCCUCCCUUUUACCAAAGUGUGCCCUUUCAAACUUCCAUGAUGAGGAGUUUGCUAGUGCACACCAUAAUACAAGGGUGGAGACUUGGGAUGUAGCCCUCAGGCACUCUCUCAACCACCUAUAUGCCUAUUCCUGUAGCUGAGGGUUUUAGCGAUAUUGCAAUGAGGGGAUUUGAUUAAGCUGGCCUGGGUGGGCAGAGAUUGCACCAGGUGAAAGUGAUUGUUUUGAAAAUCGGGCCGCCGCCCCCCCAGGUGUGAGCCGGGUGCCCUGGCGAAAUCGGCUCAAAACAAAGUGACGUUUGUCAAGAAUGUGGAGUAAUGAUUUAGGAUUCAGUGUUGUUUGCUCUUGGUAAAAAAAAACUAAUAUUUACCUUAUUUGCCUUCCCAAGUAAAACUAGUAAAAUUCUAUCAUAUACUUUAUGGAAAAUACAUGUUGCAUAUUUCUGAACAAUGAACCGUGAUGUCUUGUUGACGAUAUGACUUGGCGGCGCAGAUUACUGUUCGUGUUGAGCAGGGCGCUCCUCCUCCCUCUCCGCUUUCGGGCCAUGUCACGAGCCAUAGCCCGGUGCACCCCGGUCCAGUUGAAUUAAACUCCCUCAAUAUAACUCUACUCUAUGACAUGGUAGUGUACACAGUAUAAUACAAAUCUAAUUCUAUUCAUCUUGUAGUCCCAUGAUCCUCCCCCACUGAGUUAUUGUAUGUUAUAUUUUGUUUAUUGUAAAUCAAGCUUUCGUUUGCAUGCUAGUAAACGUCAACGUUACAGUAUUUCAUUAUUUUAUCCCGCAGGGGACAGUAACAGAGACUUUGUAAGGGGGCAGAUAAUCUAUGAUAGAGAUUGAUUAUGAGUUCCUGUUGUCUGAUUUGAAGGCUACAAAAGGUAUUUUUGGAAGAAAAUAGCUAAUUAGCUCAUUUUCCCCAGACCUGACAGUGUGCCUUUCAACUAAUCUAUUUUGUGUUCCAACCCUCAGGAAACUAUGAUGUAAUUUCUGUGUACGGGCAACCCCAACAGCUCCUCCAGCAGAAGCUGCUUCCUCCUGCCUUCCAGAUGCUGCUGACCAAGUUGUCCACCAUCUGACAGGUAAUGAUGCUCUCCCACAGGAAGCAAGGGCUGAAGGGGCACCAACAUGGCUGAAAGAUGUCUUGCUACCCUGACCCCCCCCCCAUUCCUGUGGCCUGCACUGGUUACUCCCCUUCAUAGAAUGGACUAAAGAUCAAUGGAAUUGUACAUUUGGUUAAUGUAGUUCAGUGUUCCUCUUUCUUGCCUAAUGGACAACAGUGGGAACAUUGUCAUCCCUACCUGUGCUGCAACGCCUAAUUGAACUACUCAAUAAGACCACACUUGGGCGGUUCUGGCUGAUGACCUGUCGCCAUAGCUGAUAGAAACCCAGAAGGAAUAUCAUCCCCAAUGAUACUGCUAAUAUUAGUAACUGUACUGAUGAGGAACAGGAGGGCAGGCUUAUCCAUUGUCCCUGAACUGCUUGAAGUGUAGAGUCAAAAUGACAGUGCCACUUUGUUACCGCUAGUCACAUGUUUGAGAAGAUGUUCUGCAAAAAUAAUAACAAUACAGAGAUGGUCUUGCUCUUCAAUGAGGUUCUGACAAUCAUAUGUUGGAAUCCAUUAUAAAGAAAACCUACAGUAGUUGAACACUCUGUGUAGGUAGUAACCUGUUUGUUGAACGCCAGUGAUUCUAAGAACAAAAAUAACUGUUACCUGUAGGACAAUGUCUCUAUCACAGGUCACCAAGGGUACAACAAGGCAUAUCCUUAAUAAAAUACAUUUUCAUGGCUAAUUGUGCAUGCCUCUCAUUUCCCACUUAAUAUGCAAUAUAGUUAUACCUAUGGCUUGCAUAACCAACUCAGUGCCCUUGUUGUUAGUGUCCUACCUAAGAGUUGAAGGUUGGACAGUUCAAUCCCUGACCGAGUCAUACCAAAGACUGUAAAAAUGGGACCCGAUGCGUCUCUGCUUGGCACUCAAGAUAGAUUGGGGGUAAGGCCCUGCGAUAGACUAGCGUCCUAUCCAGGGGGUGUACUUGUACAUCAAGCUGCCUCACAUUACAGAAACAGGAGAUAUGCUCCUGCUCCU